UACGAAGGGGGCUAGCGUUGUUCGGAAUCACUGGGCGUAAAGCGCACGUAGGCGGAUUGUUAAGUCAGGGGUGAAAUCCUGGAGCUCAACUCCAGAACUGCCUUUGAUACUGAGGAUCUUGAGUACGGGAGAGGUGAGUGGAACUGCGAGUGUAGAGGUGAAAUUCGUAGAUAUUCGCAAGAACACCAGUGGCGAAGGCGGCUCACUGGCCCGUAACUGACGCUGAGGCACGAAAGCGUGGGGAGCAAACAGG
rnacentral:rRNA from 1 species